UGGGUUCCAGUAUUCUCUUUGCGGAAUGGGGAUGAUAACAUCCAAAGUCCCGCCAGCCUCACUGAGAGCCUGGGAAGAUCAAAACACGCUGAAUCACAGUCUACCCGUUCGAGCUGGUAGUUAGCACAUGUUUGCGACGAUCAGGCGCCACGCUAAGCGGCUUACGUGCGCUAUCUCGUCUGACCAUCAUAAGGGCGUCAGAGGGUGCUUUACCGUGGACGGACCUCUAUUUAGGAAAACUUGGCAUCUAAAAGCCCACAGGGACAAAAUCGAUAUAUUAAGGCAACCAGUCAAUCACGGUUUGCCGAGGACUGAUAGGAUUUUAACACCGAAAGGCCCAAGUCCCCGGAAACCCUUCAGUGCUAAGCACACCAGCUCCACGAGGGGGCAUCCCAGGAGUCCACGUUUUAUGCUGAGCGGCUGUGUCCACUAAAGCUCCAAAUGAUUGGACCCGAAUGGACACCUGACCCAAAAGCAGCCAACCCAUUGGCUGUACAGCAACCAAUGACCUAUGUGGUUCUUGGGUGUGUAGCCUGUGUGCCUGGAAAAAAGGAAGCCAUACCAGCAAUCCCAAAGUCGGAUGGUGGAUGUAUUGCUUAUGUUGACAAGGAGGGAAGGGAAUGAAAGGCCCUGAAAACACCGGGUUCUUCCUGCGUUUAACUUCCCCCUGGGGAUGGAUAUGGCUCCUUCCUGAUUCAGGCUGACCUUUACCAUACAUCACUGCAAAGAAAUCCCCGCGGGGUUGGUUAUCACGGUGAGCUGCUAGUCAUCUGAAAGGCGAGGUCACUGCCUCUUUGUAAGGUCUGCUCACACUGUGAAAAGGGCCAUUGGAGGCAUGACAAGGAGGCUCGCCCAGGCCGUUCCACUCCGCCGACUUCCAGAUCUGGGCCGAGUCGAUUGCUUUUCAUUUCCCAGUACCUGAGAUCCUGCCAUCGCAUCGGCCUCCUUGACACUGGCCCCGGGUUUCCAGACGAGGACAUGGCUCCAGCUCACCCAGUUCACGCGCCAGUAAUUGGAUGAAAAUGUUCCAGACUAGAAGGGGCUCCCAGAGAAGGCUGGGAAAACAGCCCUCAAGGUUCAAACUGACAGAAUGGAGCCUGGCUGCUCAGAGUUGGUUUCUAAAGGCAGAAUGACCUCUGAAAUCUUGCCGCAGGACUUACAGGCUGCUAAUUGGCACAAUGGGUAAACAUGCCGCAUGACCGUAAUCGAUGAGAACGAUUUCUCCAGACCCUGGACGAAGCCGGUGGUGUUAGUGCAGCGCCCUACUGUGCACGCUGUGGGGGAGGGGGAGGCCGGCCUGCAGGCUACGCCCUGAUUUCUCCGGGCCACAGAAGGAAGUGUGAACAAAGGGAUACAUAAACCACAAUCAGAGGACAUGAUUCUUCCUCCCGUCUCUUUUACUAUAGUCACGAUGCCAGCCUUCUAAGCGUUUGUGUUAUUUGUAUAGGCAACAGGCUUCCUAAGCUGCUUAAAAUGAACCGCUGAGGGUCACCUGGGUGGCUCAGUCGGUUAAGCUACCGACUUGAUUUUGGCUCGGGUCUGAUCUCCCGGUUGAUGGGAUCCAGCCUCCGGUCUGGCUUCCUGCUGACAGCAGGGGUCUGCUUGGGAUUCUUUUUCUUUCUCUCUCUGCCCCUCCCCCAUGCGUGCUCUGUCUCUCUCAAAAUAAAUAAAUAAAUACGCAUCUAAAAAGAAAUGAGCCACUUACAAUCUUCUUUGCGGGUUGGCUUUGCCCACAGUAGGUACUCGAUAAAUGUGUGAUUAAUUAAAUUGAGUCAGUGAGCAAUGACUGCUUUUGUUUUGUUUUGUUUUGUUUCCAAAUGGGUCGCGUUUUUCUAAAUGGAAAUCCUGGGGCUGCCCUCGUAGGUGAAGAUCACCUUCUUCCCUUCCGCAUUCCAGACAUGUGCCCAGAGGCCUUGGGCGGGUGAGGGAGAGGAGGGUCCAAAAUGAGCUCACUGACAUCAAAAUCCUCUAAGGCUUCAGAACCUGGCACUUGACAUUUUUCACAUUCUCUAGAGAUACUGGCUUACGUUUAAACUUCAUUCCCUUUCCCGUUUCCUCUCCCUGUCCCCCCAACGAAAUGAAUUAUCUUUGCCUGUCCCUUAUACAGUCAACCAUUUCAAAACAAACUCGCCUCCCGGACAGAGGGUAGCUUUAGGGACCCUUGUAACCAGGCUGAGGCACCGGGAGCUAAUAUUAAACCAGUGACCUCGGAUCUCCCCGAGAGCACAUGGGGGCCACCACACCUGAGAAGCUUGUUCUUUGACCCAAGACACACACCUGCUGUAGGAAUAAAGUGGAUUUCCCAUGUGAAAUUGUCCCUGACGCCCCAACUUGA